rnacentral:lncRNA from 1 species
AUGGUCAUUCUCACCCUUACUUCACUCUUGAGAGAUUCCUCCUCUAAGCAAAUACAUUGCUUCUUUGUGAAUGAACAUCCCAUCCUGGGGAAUGGAAAGGUCAUAUUUAUUCCUGUACCCCAGUGUCUGUGUUGCUCUCACAGUUAUCCCCUUCUUCUCUGGUGUAAGAGGGGAGACUGGAGAAAGGACCACUGCCUUCAUAAUGAUGGGGGACUCAUGGAGAGGGCAGACAAGUCUGUCCUAACUUGGUGGUACACAGCAUACAUCACUGACUCUGAAAUUCUUAUCUUCUAAAGAAAUAGGUGCUAUAAACAAGGAAAUAAGCAAAAUUCUGGAUGCUGGAAAUCUUUUGUCUUAAUUUUUUUCCUAUUAAACGACAGGCUGUAGAUUUCUUAGUUCUCACAGAACUUCUAUCAUUUUAAACUGACUUGUGUAUUUAAAAAAAAAUCUUCAGUAGGAUGUUUUGUAUUCGCAGACCCUCUUCUGUGAUGGGCAAUGUGUUGGAUCAUUUGAGAUUUUCUGUUUUUAAACAUGUAGCAAUUGAAUUUUUGCCAAGGAAAAGAUAAAUAUUACUGCAUUAAAAAUAAAAUCUAAGCCUCUGUUAUACUUUAGAUCCCUGAACGGCUGAU